GGCGGAGCGCCGCGAAGACACGCCCCGGCGGAACACGCGCUGCCGCCGCUUCCACUGCUCCUCGGCUUUCAGCCGCUUGCGGUGCUUCUGAAUCUGCAGAACCAGAGAGAGGGGCCAGGCUGAUGAGGACCUUGCAGAUGGUCAUUGACAAGAACCGUAUGGCGACGACGGGCAGCAGGCACACCGCAACAGUCAGCAUGAUGGUCAACCAAAUGUAUGGCUGCCUCAGGGCAUUUGAUGCUGUGCCUGUGAAAACACGGAGAAUGAAUCCCAGGGUUCCUUCAUCCUAAGGGCAGUGUGCCCAGUCUGUCCCGAGUGCCCCCAUCAGCCUGAGGCUCCUACCUGGUCAAGCAGCCCCAUGAGGAGCACGGGCAGGCUGGAGUACAGCACGUUGUACAGCGUGAUGAACCAGUCUUCGUACGCCGUCUGUGAGGACAUUACAGAGCCGCUGUGUCACAAACCAAGACCUACUGCCCGCCUAGUCAACAUGCAUUCAUCUCUCUCGGAGUGGAGGAGGCCCCAGGCUGUGUGCAGCUUCUGCCAGAGUAAACACCCCUCCUCUGCAUCUGCCCAAGAGUACCCAUUGAAGAAGGAAUACCAGAAAUGAACCAAAGUAAAUGCAAAGUUUUUAUAAAAGAAGUAUCGUAGGAACUUGCACAUCCUUAUGUAAGACCACCGGCCAUGCACCAACAACAGUCUCUG